rfam:Stegodyphus mimosarum contig24293, whole genome shotgun sequence.
GCCUUCGUGGUUAAUGGUCAGCACACUGAGCCGGUAUUUCAGAGGUCCGUGGUUCGAUCCCCGGCGAAGGCA